CCCUUAGAUGUUCUGGGCCGCACGCGCGCUACACUGAUGAAUUCAACGAGCACUAACCUGUGCCGAAAGGCUCGGGUAAUCUUGUGAAAUUUCAUCGUGAUGGGGGUUGAUUAUUGCAAUUUUUAAUCAUAAACGAGGAAUGCCUAGUAAGCGUGAGUCAUCAGCUCACGUUGAUUACGUCCCUGCCCUUUGUACACACCGCCCGUCGCUCCUACCGAUUGAAUGUGCCAGUGAAAAGUUCGGAUUGGAGAUAGGAGACGGCAACGUAUCCUAUUUCCGAGAAAAUCUUUAAACUCUCCCAUUUAGAGGAAGGAGAAGUCGUAACA
rnacentral:rRNA from 1 species